AUUGAACGCUGGCGGCAGGCCUAACACAUGCAAGUCGGACGGUAGCACAGAGGAGCUUGCUCCUUGGGUGACGAGUGGCGGACGGGUGAGUAAUGUCUGGGGAUCUGCCCGAUAGAGGGGGAUAACCACUGGAAACGGUGGCUAAUACCGCAUAACGUCGCAAGACCAAAGAGGGGGACCUUCGGGCCUCUCACUAUCGGAUGAACCCAGAUGGGAUUAGCUAGUAGGCGGGGUAAUGGCCCACCUAGGCGACGAUCCCUAGCUGGUCUGAGAGGAUGACCAGCCACACUGGAACUGAGACACGGUCCAGACUCCUACGGGAGGCAGCAGUGGGGAAUAUUGCACAAUGGGCGCAAGCCUGAUGCAGCCAUGCCGCGUGUAUGAAGAAGGCCUUCGGGUUGUAAAGUACUUUCAGCGGGGAGGAAGGCGGCACGGUUAAUAACCGUGCCGAUUGACGUUACCCGCAGAAGAAGCACCGGCUAACUCCGUGCCAGCCGCCGCAGUAA
rnacentral:rRNA from 1 species